rnacentral:lncRNA from 1 species
AAGAAUAACUGCUCUUACUUUUAGCCCUCAGCAGUUUAAUGUUCCUUCCCAAUCCCAAGGGUGACAACCUGUUUCUUUUAUCCCUUAUAUUUUAUCUUCCUGUACAACCACUGCUUCUAGCACCAUUUUUCUAGCAUUAUUGCUUAUCCUUGUAUAGCCUUCUUUGGAAUGUAGUGUGUUAUCAGUUAAAUGCAGCUCCUGAAAUUUCACUUUCUUUUCUCUCCAGGUAUCAAAAUCUAGUUAAGUAGUGCAUUACAAGAGUUUCACCCCCAUGUGCAAAUAGCUGUGCUGGCAAUUUGUCUCACCAUCACCUGUUCCUGCCACACUAAGAGAUUCCUCAGGUGAAAUCCUCUUCAAAAGGGUGCUGCAACUUGGCCUCCUGCUGCCUAACAGCCUCAUGACAAAAUUCCUGAGGGUGGCAGGAUAAGCCCUUUGAGACCAUCCUGGAGAGGAUGAUGCAACAUUUCAAGCUAAGGUGAUGCUAUGAAGAAAGAGAAGAAAAAGGAGAAGAAAACAAUCAUUAAGGCAGUUAUUGAUGGAAUCACUGAGGUCACUCAGCGGGGCUGGGAUUUGGACUACAAUGGCAUCUUAUACUGAUACCAUAAACUCUCAGCUAAUUGUGAAGUGGUAAACAAAAGGAUGAUUCUCCUGAGAGGGAAUUUACUUCACAGACCUCAGGGGCUGUUUGGAGUUGCAUUGUCCUGAUCGUCUUAAGCAGAACUUCAGCUAGAGCUUGGACACCAAGGUAAAAAAUGGGGGGGAGGGAGU